CAAAUACCUAAUAAUCCUCUGAUAUUAUACAGAUGUGUGUCACAAUCAAAGUACAGAUUUACAUACCAGCCAAUGGAAAGACAGACAUUUCUCAAAUGCACCUUAAUUAAAAAUUUCCCUAACAAUACUCAUCAGCGUCCUAACUGCUCAGGAGGGAGCUGGUCUGGACCUGAUGGUCUCGGGUCUCCUGCGUCGCUACAGCCAGGCAGGUGAGGCCCCUCCAGUGCUGCUGUACGUGGACUGUGGCUGCUGUGUGGAGGAGGGUCAGAGCAAGCUCCAGGCCAGGUUCGGAGGGUGGCCAGACCUCUACAUCAGGCUGGACAUCUGGCAUUUCAUGCAGCGGCUGGCAGCAGGAUGCACCACUGAUGCACAUCCCCUGUACCACACUUUUAUGAGCCGACUGUCAGUCUGCAUCUUUGAGUGGGAUGCCGGGGAUGUGGCUCUUUUGCGUCAGUCCAAGAGGGAGCAGCUCGGACAGGAAGGUGUGCCUGUUAGCACCAAUGACAUGAUGGACAAGCACUUCAACAAGAACGACCUGGCUCUCUACUGCCGGAGGAGGACACACGGAGAGGUAGACACCAUGCACACCAUUGACCACCUGCUGCAGGAGCUGAUGGGGGACAAGGGGAGAGACCUGCUUGGGGUGCCACUCCUGGACCGGGUCAGGAUGGAGCACAUCUGGCGCGUUCAGCAGAGGCACGUGAAGUGGAAAAGGGAACCACCACCACUAAGGACGGGGUGGUUUUGACCCGGUACAGGUGUGCCCGAGGCUCCACGUCCCUGGAGUCCUUCCACCUUCACCUGAACAGGUUCAUUCCAGAACCAGUGCCAACAGCCUGAACUUCCAGCUGUAUCUCCUGGAAGGCCUGAACAGGUGGAAUCAGGACCAAGCUGCUGCAUCCCUCUCCACCAAACCCUCCUCACUGCUGAGCUACGCUGGGGACGUGGUUCAGUGUGUGAACGAAAACAGUAUGAAGGUGUUUGGCCGGAAAUAUGUGUCCUCUUUCCGCCCCCCUACCAAGUACACUGGAGAGCUGAUAGGCAUGGACUAUCUGCUCCGUCAGACAGGGCAGCCUUUGCGGAGUGUGGACCCCGACAGAGAGGAGACUGACCAGCUGCUGGAGGACCUGGCCGUGGACGCUGUCCUGGUCCCUCUGCUUCCAGUCCUGCUCCCUCUGGUCCCCGGCCUGCUCCCUCUGGUCCCCGGCCUGCUCCCUCUGGUCCCCAGCCUGCCACCUCCACCACUUCACAGCCUGCUUCCAGUCCACCAGGUGUCACACCUCAGGUGCCUGAAGAGCAGUGGGCUGUGAAUGAGCACAACAGGCCAGGCAUGGAUCGUGUGGAUAGCCUGGCAGAGUAUUUGGUGGAGCUGAGAAACCAGACCAGGCUGACCCUAAACAACCAGCAGGUCAGCAACAUUGUGGGUCUGUGGCAGAACCUUGUGGACUAUGAUAAGCAGAGAGUGGUGUUGGCAUCCAUACACCAGGACAGGCUUACCACAGGGAGGUUCAGGUCUCCUAAAAAGAAGGCAGAGUUCAUUCCAGGUGUGGACAGUCUGAAGCUGUGUGCCCUCAGUUCCACUGCUUCACCUGCCCAGUGGCCACACUGCUGCCGUCUUGUGGAGGCCAUCUUUUCCAGGCUCUGUUCCAUCCACAGGAGUCCCAAAAAGAAGGGGAAGGGGACACUGACAAGAUGGACUCUCAUUUAGGACUACCGCAAAAUACGGCAGCUGGUUCUGGCCAAUGGGGCCAUAAUGCAGGCGACAACCCUGCAGCUGGUGGAGGUGAACCAGACCACGCUCAUCCAGUGGCACAACGGCAGGGUCAAGAGGCAGGAUCUUGCGGUGCUACUGCAGGGGAUUAACCAGCCUGGUCUUCUCCCUGUGGCUUCCGAGUCUUUGGACCCAGCCAAUGUCCGCCCAGCAGUUGCUCCACCUCAACACCAGGGAGAGACAUUAGUUUAUCCCCUGCCCAGGAGCACUGCAGGGCAGGCAAAGACAAAGAGACAGUCCACCACUGUUAUCACACCACCAGUGGCAGUGCGACCAAGACUGGAAGCACAGAGGCAGCUAUUCCCCCAGGCUUCAACUUUUCGACUCAUUGUUCCGGCAGCCCCUGUCCUUCCUGGAACUCCCUCCUAUCCUGUCCCCAUUGCUCCCUGCCCAGGCCCCCGGGGCAGCAGUCUAAUCAGAGAUGCCCAGACUUCCCUCUCCCCAGACACUUCCUCCAGCUCUUCCGGGGGGACACCGAGGUGUUCCCAGGCCAGCUGGGAGACAUAGUCCCUCCAGCGUGUCCUUGGUCUUUCCCAGGGUCUCCUCCCGGUGGUCCCCAAACCUGACACCCUCCGGCCCCUGGCUGCGCCUAGAAAUUCUGUCCAUAAAAAUUACAAACAGAACCGGUGACAAAGGGCAGCCCUGCCUGAGUCCAACAUGCACUGGGAACAAGUCUGACUUACUGCCGGCAAUGCGGACCAAGCUCCUGCUUCGGUUGUAUAGGGACC
ensembl:lncRNA